GCCGCGGUGGUGGAAUGGUAGACACGCUAGACUCAAAAUCUGGUGCUCGUUAUGGGUGUACCGGUUCAAGUCCGGUCCGCGGUACCA
rnacentral:tRNA from 1 species